AUAGCCGAGCGUCACCUCCUCUCCAGCCGGGAGAGGGUCGCGGGGGGCUUCUUUAGCCCCCCACGUGCUCUCCCGACUGGAGAGGUGAUGCGCGGCUAU